UACGUAGGGUGCGAGCGUUAAUCGGAAUUACUGGGCGUAAAGCGUGCGCAGGCGGUUCGUUAUGUCCGUUGUGAAAGCCCCGGGCUCAACCUGGGAAUGGCAAUGGAAACUGGCGGGCUAGAGUGUGGCAGAGGGGGGUGGAAUUCCGCGUGUAGCAGUGAAAUGCGUAGAGAUGUGGAGGAACACCGAUGGCGAAGGCAGCCUCCUGGGCCAACACUGACGCUCAUGCACGAAAGCGUGGGGAGCAAACAGG
rnacentral:rRNA from 1 species